AUACGGAGGAUCCGAGCGUUAUCCGGAUUUAUUGGGUUUAAAGGGAGCGUAGGCGGACGCUUAAGUCAGUUGUGAAAGUUUGCGGCUCAACCGUAAAAUUGCAGUUGAUACUGGGUGUCUUGAGUACAGGAGAGGGGGGCGGAAUUCGUGGGGGAGCGGUGGAAUGCUUAGAUAUCACGAAGAACUCCGAUUGCGAAGGCAGCUCACUGGACUGCAACUGACACUGAUGCUCGAAAGUGUGGGUAUCAAACAGGAUUAGAUACCCUGGUAGUCCACACAGUAAACGAUGAAUACUCGCUGUUUGCGAUAUACAGUAAGCGGCCAAGCGAAAGCAUUAAGUAUUCCACCUGGGGAGUACGCCGGCAACGGUGAAACUUAAAGGAAUCGACGGGG
rnacentral:rRNA from 1 species